rnacentral:rRNA from 1 species
UAAGGAAUCUUCCACAAUGGGCGAAAGCCUGAUGGAGCAACGCCGCGUGUGUGAUGAAGGGUUUCGGCUCGUAAAACACUGUUGUAAGAGAAGAAUGACAUUGAGAGUAACUGUUCAAUGUGUGACGGUAUCUUACCAGAAAGGAACGGCUAAAUACGUGCCCG